UUUGGGGCUGUAAGGCAGCCCCACCUCCAGGGAGGGGUGGGAGGCUGGAGACUGCAUUCAGUUACGUAGCCAGUGAUUAAAUAAAUCAUGCCUAUGUAAUGAGACCCCAGUAGAAACCUUGGACACGAAGCUCAGUGCCACUUCCUGGAGGGUGAACAAACGAAUAUUCAGCAGAGUAACAAGGCUUGCUUCCAUAACAGGGCACAGAGACUCUGCAUUUGGGAGGCUCCCAGACUUCACCCUAUGUGUGUCUUCAGCAGCUCUUCCUGAACUGUACCCCGGAGUGCUUGAACGAGGACAUGCAAGCAACCCAACCUCUACCACACAGAUGAAGACAAACUUCACUGGAUGGUGGGACAAGAUGGAAGGAACGUCGUGGGUUGCUGAAUGUCCCUGCAGAACAGAGCUGCCCCACCUGUCCAGACCAGUCAGGCUCAUGUGAGGAAAAAAAAUAAAGUAUCUUAUUAAAUCACUA